CGGUGAAUACGUUCCCGGACCUUGUACACACCGCCCGUCAAGCCAUGGAAGCUGGGUGUACCUAAAGUCGGUAACCGCAUGGAGCCGCCUAGGGUAAAACUAGUAACUGGGGCU
rnacentral:rRNA from 1 species